CAUUUAAAGAGGUACGUGAGCUGGGUUUAAAACGUCGUGAGACAGUUUGGUCCCUAUCUUCCGUGGGCGCUGCAGAUUUGAGGAAGCCUGCUCCUAGUACGAGAGGACCGGAGUGGACGCACCUCUGGUGUACCUGUUGUCACGCCAGUGGCAUUGCAGGGUAGCUAAGUGCGGAAGAGAUAACCGCUGAAAGCAUCUAAGCGGGAAACUCGUUUCAAGAUGAGAUCUGCCGGGGCCUCGAGCCCCCUGAAGAGUCGUUCUAGACCAGGACGUUGAUAGGCUGGGUGUGGAAGCGCAGCAAUGCGUUAAGCUAACCAGUACUAAUUGCUCGUGCGGCUUGACCCU
rnacentral:rRNA from 1 species